rnacentral:tRNA from 1 species
UAAAAGUUAGUUAAUUCAAUAACAUAAGUAUGUCAUACUUAAAUAAUUUAUAGAUAAUACUUUUAU